rnacentral:rRNA from 1 species
AAUCAACGCUGGCGGCGUGCCUCAGACAUGCAAGUCGAACGAUUAAGACUCUCUUCGGAGAGUGUAUAAAGUGGCGCACGGGUGAGUAACACGUAGGUAAUGUACCGAAGGGUGGGGAAUAACUUAGGGAAACUUAAGCUAAUACCGCAUAAUGCAGCGGCUCGACAUCGAGACAGUUGUUAAAGGAGCAAUCCGCCUUUUGAGCAGCCUGCGGCAGAUUAGCUAGUUGGUAAGGUAAUGGCUUACCAAGGCUACGAUCUGUAACCGACCUGAGAGGGUGGUCGGUCACACUGACACUGAAUAACGGGUCAGACUCCGUACGGGA